GUGAGACCGCCCCGGAGCCGAGGCGACCCCAAAGUUGAGAGCCGGAAGAAUGACAGGGAGACUCCGAGAGAGUGGCGGAGGAAGGCGAAAUGCAGCCGGGCUGGCCUCCUCCAGGCUGCUCUUCCAAAUAGCCUCGGCUCAUCCGAGAUUACCACACUAAAAUUAAUGCCCACACACAGACCCGGCUAGAUAGCAAGAAAGAAGUUUCUCUGCCUGCCGGAAUACCCGCUCCCGCCCCUUUGAGCCGAGAUAACUCCGAGAUAAGACUGCGCGCAGAUAAGCGCUUCGAGAAGAGGAAAAGAGACUAGAAGUUGGUCCGCGGUGUCCCGGGAACCUGGGAGCCGCUACAGCCCGCCCGGAGGGGAGGAGGGAGACACCCUCGGAGCUGACUGCAGCCUGGAGAGGGCCGGAGAGCCAGAGGCCAAGGGGACCAGGAGAAGUAAGGGUGAAGGGGAGGGAAGCGGGGAGAUCGCGCGAGUAGGAAGCAGCCGAACCUCGGGCUGGUGCUGCGCUUGGAGAACGGCCGCGGCGGAGGGUGCUCCCAGGCGCGGAGACAGGCCGAGGGCGCCAGCAGGCGAGCGCGAGUCCCGGGUUUGUGCCGCGCUGCUGGUGAAUAAAAAGGAGAGAGGAGGCGCCUCUUACUGCUCUGCCGGAAAACUGCAGCCUGCGCUCCUGAUUGGACUCACCGAGCCCUAAACAAACAGCGCUCGCCGAAGGGUGCCAGGCUGUGGGUCGGAACUGCGCUCCGCGAGCAGCUGGGCGCUGGAGAACGGUAGUCUACGGGGCGCUCAAAAUGGAAGAGGGUUUCCACAUCAGUCGCGUUCGAGGACUCUCUCCAACUUUUGAUGUCCCGUUUGCUCUGAGCUUUCCCCGGGGAGAGUUUCAGAAAGGAUUUCUUCCGACAGACGUGACCCCAGAAGGCGGCCGAGGGAAACUUUAGGACAAGAGUUGUUUUUGCGAUAAUGCAUUUUUAAACCCCACCACCCCCCGCACACACACACAAGGUAAAUCGAAGUAAAUGAUUUUCUAAAGGUCAGUCUCCCAGAAAGUGUUUAGGAUCUGGUUUUUUGUUUUGUUUUUACGUUUGUGUUUUCCCGGUUAGGGAGGGAAAAGGAGCCUGGGCAGAGUUGAACUGGGGUGGGGAGGUGCGUUGUAAAGUAUGGUUUCCAGAGAUGGUGAGACCUCGUCGCUAAGCGUUGUUUCCUCUGCACGUAACUGUGAGUUGUGAACUUGUGGCUCCUGGGGAAGCGGGGACGUGGGGACGUGGCCUGGCAGUGCGGGGGAGGGGGCGAGAAAUUCAGGAAAUUGGCGAUAAUUCUUCUUUUUUCCUUCUUCGUUGUAAAUUGCUGCUAGACACUUUUGAAUUUUAAAUUGCUACCAAGAAGGUCCAGAAACCGUUCUCGUCCAAUUUAGUCACUUUUAUUACAUUCUGCUUUGCCUCCCCCAGUCAUUUUGACGGCUCCCAGUUUCAGCGUGGCCGCAUUUUUAAAAGGCUGAAGGUAGAAAACUCUGGAAUGGAGAGGCUGGCGACUGGAGCAGGAUCCAGGGACUUUAAAUUUUAACCUGAGUGCGAUCGAAUGUGCGACUUCCAGAUGAGAUAGCCAGGCGUCCGCCCAGCCACUCAACCCCCGCCAGGACUCGGAAUGCCUUGCUUUUUAGUUAUUUUCGUGAGUUCCGACCAAAUGUUUAAGUGGACUGGGUUUUGCAGAAGCUCAUUUGUAAGCAGUGACGGAAAUGUGUUGUGGACAUUUGAUUUCCUUUGAUUUCAACGUUUUGAAAUAAUGUUUCUCAGGUUUGCUAUUAAAAGCAAUUUUUAAAAAAUCAUCUUAUUUGCUAAAAAUAAAACUCUUUGGCUCAGUUUGAGUCCAGGCUGUGAACGGCCUCCAACCCUGAGCCCCGAGGAGAUCGAGCCCUGGCGCGAGCCUGAUCCCUGUCCUGUGUGUUUCUUUGUAUUUGCAAGUACAAGGAUGUCUGCAAGAUAUCCCUGGACACCGAUACCCCCGGGGACCUGCUUUUGCCGCAGCUCCGCAGACGCAGCGGGAGGGCGCGCUGGCCCGGGCGCUGCUGGGACAGAGUGCAUCUUUGGCUCUAGGGUCCACACCGGGGAAGACAAGCAUGCUUUCAAAGCCACUCCCAUGAGCCCCAGGCCCGCGCGUGAAGCUUCCUGGGCGCUCCCCAGCUGGUCUGAAAAGCCAGCAAACUAGGAAGUUCGGAGGGAAGAGGUGAACCACAAACAAGGGAGAACCCCAAGAGCUAGGAAGAAGAUCCCCACUAGUGUCCAAGGUACACGGACAAGCUCUUAAAAGUUCUUGUUUUCUUCGUCGGUAUUUUCUUUUCUUUUCUUUUCCUCCUUCCCCCCCCCCCCCCACCCUUUCACCCCGUCUGUCUCCUCUUUUGGGAUUUGCUAAUCUUGAACGAAACUGUUUAUCUCAGGUCUAUUUAGACCCAAUGAGCCGCCCCUCCUGGGCGAGCGGUCCCCAUUACCCUCACAGAGGACUGACUCCCGGGCGCGACCUGUCCGCGGGGUUGAUUUAUUUGGGCCGCGCCAUACCACGAUUCACGAUUCGAAUCCACCCAGAACACCGCAGCCAAUUGGGCAGGGGGCGGGGGCUUGGCUGCCAAACGGGAAGGGUGUUUGAGGACCCAGUCGUGCGCCGCUUCCGGAGUAGCCGCGAGACCCGGGCAAGGGCCCGCGUCCCCGCGCACCUCCACCCGCGCCAACUCAUGCUCAUUUUUACGACCCUAUCACAAAACUGGCUGCUCCGGCGAUGUUUCAUAAAGAAAAAGAAUGCAUUUCUGACUUAAAACGUAUUUUUAACUUAGAUUUUUAACAGCUCAGAUUUAUGAGGCCUUCUUGCUUAUACCAUAAUUCUUCCCGUCCCGGAGACGCUUCUACCCAAGGACCCGGGGUCGUCUCCGAGCCCCCAGCCCCUGCCAGCGUCCGGGCCCAGCGGCGGAGUCCGGGCGGCUUGUCACCUACUCCGUGGCCGCACUUGCACUGCAGGCCGUCGACCAGUCUGGCGGUGAUUUUCUUUAAUUCUCGGAAAACUAAAAACACUCUUUAGAAAAGUCAGGUGGUGGCGGCGGAAGCUUGAAGGUCGCCCCCACCCCCUGCCCCGGCUCCCCGCCGCCGGCCGCUUAGGGAAGGACCGCGCAGAGCCUGCGCCGGGGUCCCCGGGCGGGUGGAAUCGAGGCCCCGCGCACGGCGCAGCCCCGGCCGGGUCCUGAGGCCCCUCGCCCAGCGCAGCCCCCGGCCGACCCCCGCGCGCCGCUGGCGGCCGCCAGCAUGGCGCGGAGGUGGGCUCGCGGCGGCGGCGCAGGAGAGGUCACCGCGGUGGCAUUCCUCUCCGCGCUGUUUACGUGACUUAAUGUACUCGCUGCGCCGCGGGUAAGUUCGGGCCGCGAUAAGGGGGCGGCCGGGGGAGGGUCGCCUUCCAAGCCCCUCGCCGGGCGCCUCCAGCCCUCCCAUCAUCCAUUAACCUUUUUACUUUCUUCUCCCCUCUCUCUGCAAGCCUGUUAUCUAGGCCACCCAAUGACCGACGAAAGAUCUUCCCUCCCUGCUUCUCCCGUGGCCGCUUUAAACCAAAUAAAUUUAGCUAUUAAGGGCCAAGAUGUCUGACAAAAGAUCGAAAGGUGUCUUUCCGUGAUCGCUUAAAGAAGCGAAGGAGAAGCUCGCGGCUCCCAAAUCCCGAUAAAGAAAUUCUUCGCCGGCGCCGGCCUCCCUCCCCGCGGCCUGGUUGCUCCCUGACGCCCUGAGACCCCGACUUCUGCGGCCGCAGACCUCGGAGGGGCCGGGCGGAACCUGUGGCCGCCGCCCAGAGAAGGUGAAGGCCCCUGGGCUACGGGGCCAGGGAGUGCCAGGCCCUCGGGGACAGGGCGGACACUGGGGUCCCCGGGAGUUCUGGAGCUCCAGGUGGGAGCUGGGGAUCCGCCACUUCGCAGAAAAACUAAACCGAGCCCAGGGGGCCAAGAUUACCACUAUAUUUUUAUGAUUUUCUGAUGCUAAAUAAUAAAGAUAAAACCAAACCGCCCCCACCUACCACCCCACUCCCUGCGGGUCUGCUAAGGGGCAGUGUGCUGCUCCACGUCGCUGGUCCUGAGGAGCAGCCAUUCCUUUGAACCCCAGGCUGAAGGUGGUGGGUGGAAUUGAGGCUGCCCGGGAGGGUGUGGACUCGCAGAGAAACGGCAUGCAGGUGGGAAGCAGAGGUCCAAUCAUUCAGUCAUCCUAGGCUUGGGUUUGGUUAUGAAGUGUGGUAUUUAUCAUUAUUAUUAAUUGCUACUGGCACCACUACAUAAAGCCUAGGGCUGCCAGCUGGGCUGAGGCCCUGCCCCUGGAUCCCUUCCCUUUCACCAAAGGGUGAUGGCAGGGAAGAUCCAGUUUCCUGAUCCUGGAUACUGCAAAGUGGGUUUCGGGAGUCAGGUGUGACGUUUUUGAAGUUUUCUCCUCCCUUCAAGUAAAAAGAGUCCAUAUUCCAGAGCAGCAUAAACCUUUUCUACCUCUGAAAUAGGAUAAGGAAGUGAUGGGUGGGGGGUACGCUGCCGAUGAGACCCCUUGGCUUCCCUGCAGGGGGCUUUCCUAAGUCUUCUGCCUCUCCUAGUGUGUUCUCUGGCAGAUGUUGGGGGCAGGACUCUCAAUUCCAAAAGGCAGCCCAGUAUCGGCUGUCUGUCCCCUCACACUGGCUGGGAAGUGGAAGAUGUCUUUCUUUUCUUGUUAGCCCUUCCAAAUAAGGUGAAUGCCAAAAAUCAUCCAUCCUAUCUAUCCUUACCCCACCAGCCUCUGGGGAGGAGAAAAAUCAGAGCAUCAGAGGAAAAGGGUGUAUUUCUGCUCCCAAGAAGGUGAAAGAGAUGGAAAAAUUUCCAACCCACUAGAUAGGCAGGAGCUAGGCUCUUCCUGGAUUUUGCUGGUAUCACAAGGUGUACAGGCCAUGCCAGUUAUAGGGCCCGGGUCCAGGUAUCACUGCCCCUGGGCUGUCUCAGCCCAAAGACCUUCCUGACACUAUAGUUUGUUUUUGUUUUGUUGUUGUUGUUGUUGUUGUUGUUGUUUUCAAAACCAAAAAGUGUGGGACAGGGAUUACUAAAAGGAAACAGGAAAAAGAAGGAAAUCAGCUUUUGGAGACUUGCUAAAUUUCAAAUGCCCUGCUUUGAGUCAAUCAAAAGGGCAAAAAGUGCCAAAGAAACAAACAAAUAAA